rnacentral:rRNA from 1 species
UGCGUAGGCGGAAAAUUAAGUCAGUAGUGAAAUCCUGCAGCUUAACUGUAGAACUGUUAUUGAUACUGGUUUUCUUGAAUAUAGUUGAGGUAGGCGGAAUGUGUAAUGUAGCGGUGAAAUGCUUAGAUAUUACACAGAACACCGAUUGCGAAGGCAGCUUACUAAGCUAUGAUUGACGCUGAGGUACGAAAGCGUGGGGAGCGAACAGGAUUAGAUACCCUGGUAGUC